GUCCUGGCCGUAAACGAUGUCCACUAGAUCGCAGCGCCUCUGACGGUGUUGCGGUCGAAGCCAAAGUGCUAAGUGGACCGCCUGGGAAGUACGGUCGCAAGGCUAAAACUCAAAGGAAUUGACGGGGGCUCACACAAGCGGUGGAGCAUGUGGUUCAAUUCGAAGCAACGCGCAGAACCUUACCUGGGCUUGACAUGCUGGGAUUAUCCCCGUGAAAGCGGGGUAGGCCCUUCGGGGUACAACCAGCACAGGUGCUGCAUGGCUGUCGU
rnacentral:rRNA from 1 species